CUGUCUCAAGCCAACUCUCAUGAAGAGAGAUAUAACUCUCUUGAAGCCAACUUGAAGAAUGAAGAGACUCAAGACCUUUGCGCUGUUGAUUUGCUGGAUUAGCUUUCUGUUAAGUGUUUAGGUUUAAAAAAGGUGCAUCAUUUAGAAUGAUCGAGGCUCCUUUUUUUUAAACUGAAUAGGGAAUAACUAAAAGCUGUUAGUCAACUGCUUAGUCAUCGUGCUCCACUGAACUUCAUUCACCGUAGGUUAACCAGUCAUAGACUAGCGGUGGAUGCUAACUUGCUAAUGUCAAUGAAAUCUGUUGGACCGCUGAAGAAAUGUCUACCAGAGACUGGAGCAGGAGGUGCAUUCGGAGUUGUUUUAACACACGGAAUGCGUUGACAUUUGUGACUCUAUCGGCUGUUGUUGUGGGUGUUGCUAUUGGCUUGGUUUUGAAGACCUUUACAACUCUUACAUUGUACGAAAGAGCUUGGCUUCGCAUUCCCGGAGAAUUUCUUUUCCGGCUGAUGCAGUUUGUUACUGUCCCUCUGCUGAUGACAAAUGUGAUACUCGGAAUUGCUGGUGCCACUCUCAGUCCCUCCAAAAAGAUCACUAGAUGUGCAUUAACAUACUUUGGCUUUACAACAAUAAUCUCUUUGCUAAUAGGAAUCACCCUGACAAUGCUGAUCAAACCAGGGAUCACUGCAAAUCCCGAAAAAUCAGAUGAAGUUACUGACUUUGAUGAUGCCUACAACACCAUUGAUGCCCUGUCUGAUCUAAUAAGAAACCUCAUUCCACACAAUCUGAUUCUGCUGAGCUACAAACAGUACAAGACUAGGAAGGUGUAUAUAAAUGCACAGACGGUCAACGGUACCCUUCCGGAAAAUCAAGACGUGCAGUUAGUAGGCGAAAACAUGCGAGGGGUUAACAUGCUCGGAUUGAUAGUGGUGUCAGUUUUCAUUGGGAAGAGCAUUAGGAAGAUUGGAGCUGUGGGCGGAACCUUUCUGGAGGUCAUCAACACCGUCAACAUUGUCUCCAAAAGUUUGGUGAAAAUAAUAAUGAUCUAUUUUCCCAUUGCAGUGAUGUUCAUGAUGGCAAGCUAUGUUCAUACCAUUGCAGACGACUGGCAGACUGUUGUUAGCCUUGGAAAGUUCAUCACCGUAAUUGUUACUGGACUUCUCAUCCAUGGUUUUUUGGUGUUGCCACUCAUCUGCUUCUUGUGCAUGAGAAGGAACCCCUACCCGAUCUUUCCAGGGAUUGCACCUGCAUUGCUAAGGGGGAUGCUCGUUUCACGCUCUUAUGCGGCAUCAGAGACUUUCAGUUGUUGCGAAGAUAGACUGAGGAUCAACAAAAGAAUAACUCGCUUCAUGCUGCUCAUUGGGAUCCACGCCAAUAUGGAUGGAACGGUCCUUUAUGAGAUGGCUGCUGCCCUGUUCAUUGCUCAACUCUCAGGCUCCAGGUUGCACUGGAGCAAGAUCAUCAGCAUUGCUGUGACGGUGGCAGUGGCCACUCUUGGAGAGGCAGGAAUCCCCGCUACAGGAAUGAUGACCACCCUCUUUAUUUUGACCAUCAGCGGGAUUCCAGUGAGACCUGCCUCCCUUUUGCUCUCCAUUGAAUGGCUGCUAGAUCGCCUCAAUGCCGCUGUCAAUAUCAUGAGCGACUGUUUUGGUGUCUUUCUCGUUGCUAAUGUGUCAGAAGGAGAACUGAAAAAAAUGGAAGAGGAGAUGCCUUAUGAGCAUCUACCAGAACCGUGGAAGCCACCAGAGGAGCUUGCUUAAACAGCAGCCCUUAGCAGUCCUCAACAACGACACGAUUGUUGACAGUUGUAAAGAUGAAGCGAUGGACUUCAGCAUUUCUAUUUUUUGUGCCAUUUUAUCACCUUUUGCCUCUUAUUUGACAGUAAUCCAACAGAAGGAGGUUGAGAGAAGUGGGGGAAGACAUGCUGCAAAGGAACUGAGGAAAGGAGUUGAACUUGGGACUUCCACAUAUAUGUAGCCUCUCCGCAUGAGGCGCCUGCUCUAACCGCUGCGCCACACGAUGCCCCUGUGAUAUGUAUGUUUCUCCAUCUAUGCUGUAUGUUAUAUGUAGCAAUUUGUUCAGAAGUGAGGUGUCUAUAUGGAUCUUGUAAUUAUCAAUAAAGUGUAGAAACUAUCA